AGUGGCGGACGGGUGAGUAACGCGUGAGAAUCUGCCUUGGGGUCGGGGACAACCACUGGAAACGGUGGCUAAUACCGGAUAAGCCGAUUGGUGAAAGAUUUAUUGCCCGAAGAGGAGCUCGCGUCUGAUUAGCUAGUUGGUGAGGUAAGAGCUCACCAAGGCAGCGAUCAGUAGCUGGUCUGAGAGGACGAUCAGCCACACUGGGACUGAGACACGGCCCAGACUCCUACGGGAGGCAGCAGUGGGGAAUUUUCCGCAAUGGGCGAAAGCCUGACGGAGCAAGACCGCGUGAGGGAGGAAGGCUCUUGGGUUGUAAACCUCUUUUCUCAGGGAAGAAGCUCUGACGGUACCUGAGGAAUCAGCCUCGGCUAACUCCGUGCCAGCAGCCGCGGUAAUACGAAGGAGGCAAGCGUUAUCCGGAAUUAUUGGGCGUAAAGCGUCCGCAGGUGGCGAUUCAAGUCUGCUGUCAAAGCACGGGGCUUAACUCCGUAAAGGCAGUGGAAACUGAAUAGCUAGAGUGCCGUAGGGGUAGAGGGAAUUCCCGGUGUAGCGGUGAAAUGCGUAGAGAUCGGGAAGAACAUCGGUGGCGAAAGCGCUCUACUGGACGGCAACUGACACUCAGGGACGAAAGCUAGGGGAGCGAAUGGGAUUAGAUACCCC
rnacentral:rRNA from 1 species